CGUGUAGGCGGUUGGGGUAGUCAUAUGUGAAAUCCUUCUGCUCAACGGAAGAAGUGCAUGUGAAACCACCUGACUUGAGUACGAGAGGGGAAAGUGGAAUUCCCAGUGUAGAGGUGAAAUUCGUAGAUAUUGGGAGGAACACCCGUAGCGAAGGCGACUUUCUGGAUCGAUACUGACGCUGAGACGCGAAAGCGUGGGUAGCAAACAGGAUUAGAUACCCUGGUAGUCC
rnacentral:rRNA from 1 species